AUUCUGUUUGUUUGGUAUCUGUUGUAUUUUUUUGUUUUUCCCACCAAUAUUUCAUCUGUGUUCCUAUCCAUAACAUCUUAAGUUAACAACAAUAUGUUAAUAGCUUGCAAAUUUUAUAGGUGUCCAAUAGAUUGAAGUUCGAGAUGUUGUAAGAGUUCGAAAACUUAAAAUAAAAAAUAUACAGUUUGAGAUAAUGUAUAAGAACUGACUUCUUUACCUUCAUCCAUUUUAAUGAAGAUCCUAUUUUGUGGUGUGCACAUAUAUGCUAAGAAACACUAGUGGCAAAGCAUGACAUGAGUAAUUAGAAACAUGGUUUGUAAUGAUUUGGUAAAGCAUGAAAUGAAGAAAAUUAUGGAGUACUGGAUGUUACAUAAGAUAAUCAAAAUUUGUCAAGGAUGAUUUAAAAAAAUUAUUUAGCUUACCUGAUAAGCACAGCUCAUAGUGGAUAUAUACAUGAAUUGUUUGCAUAAUGAACUGUCAAUAUACUGUCCACUUGAUGCACUUGAGGGUUAAUGAUUUUACCAAUGUAUGACAUUGAUAAUUUCUUGUGAUGGUAGUACCACAAUCAACAUGCCUUGGAAUUAUAUAAUGAAAUCUUUGGAAAUUAUUUUUUAAGCACCAAUACAUUCUUGUUUUAUUGGUGACUGGGUGAUGUAGGAUGAGUUCGAGGAUUACUCACCUACUAGUAACAGCCCAAAAUAAUAUAUGACAACAGAAACCCUAGGCUUUGGGGGCUGAAUUGUAGUUGAUUUUUGUAGCUGAACAGGUGGCAAAAAUACGGAGUAUUAAAGGAUUUGUAUGGAGACAUGGAAGGGUAGAGGUUUGAUAGUGAAGAGAAAGGAUUUAUGGAACUAUUUGGGGACUGUUUAACGAUUUAUGAAGCUUGGGGGUUGAAUAGGGGUUAAUAAAGAUUUGGUUUUAUGGUUUUAGAGGCUAAAAGUGCAAAAACAUUAAAAGAUAAGAAGAAUUAGGCAUCACACCUAAAUUCCAUAGGGAUUAUUCCUAAGGUUGGAAUUGCCUCACACAAUCCAUAGAAGAGCUUCAAAAACUUCGCAAAAUUCUUCAAAACUUGUUGUCUAUUAAAUUAAUUACAUGACUUUGUAUAGGGUAUAGAGAUUGGAGACUUCCUUCACUAACUAGGACUAAGAUUUAAAAAGAAAGCAACAAAAAAAAAAACCUACUAAAUUUGUCACUUCUAUAA